CCUACGGGGGGCAGCAGUGGGGAAUAUUGGACAAUGGGGGCAACCCUGAUCCAGCCAUGCCGCGUGUGUGAAGAAGGCCCUCGGGUUGUAAAGCACUUUCAGUGAGGAAGAACGCCUGGUGGUUAAUACCCAUCAGGAAAGACAUCACUCACAGAAGAAGCACCGGCUAACUCCGUGCCAGCAGCCGCGGUAAUACGGAGGGUGCGAGCGUUAAUCGGAAUUACUGGGCGUAAAGCGCGCGUAGGUGGCUCGAUAAGCCGGUUGUGAAAGCCCCGGGCUCAACCUGGGAACGGCAUCCGGAACUGUCAAGCUAGAGUGCAGGAGAGGAAGGUAGAAUUCCCGGUGUAGCGGUGAAAUGCGUAGAGAUCGGGAGGAAUACCAGUGGCGAAGGCGGCCUUCUGGACUGACACUGACACUGAGGUGCGAAAGCGUGGGUAGCAAACAGGAUUAGAUACCCUUGUAGUC
rnacentral:rRNA from 1 species